rnacentral:misc_RNA from 1 species
GAUGAAGAACGUAGCGAAAUGCGAUAAGUAAUGUGAAUUGCAGAAUUCAGUGAAUCAUCGAAUCUUUGAACGCGCAUUGCGCCGAUUAGUAAUCUAGUGGGCAUGCCUGUUCGAGCGUCAUUUCAACCCUUAAGCCUAGCUUAGUGUUGGGAAUCUGCUGUAUUGCAGUUCCUCAAAUACAACGGCGGAUCUGUAACAUCCUCUGAGCGUAGUAAAUUUUUAUCUCGCUUUUGUUAGGUGUUGCAGCUCUCAGCCGCUAAACCCCCCAAUUUUUGUGGUUGACCUCGGAUCAGGUAGGAAUACCCGCUGAACUUAAGCAUAUCAAUAAGCGGAGGA